CUUCUCCUUCUUCCCUCUCUUCUUCUUUCUUUCUUUCUUUCUUUCUUUCUUUCUCUCUUUCUCCUUCCACUAUUCCUUCUCUGUUUUCACUGACAAAGAAGAGGAACAAGGGAAGGUGGUGCUCUCCGGUCCUCAAGGUGGCCGCCACUGAGGGCCGGCGACGCUUGUGGCCGAAGGCAUGCCGACUGCCACAGGUGCCUCCCCCUCCUUUUCCUUCUCUCUUCUUCUUCUUCUUCUUCUUCUUCUUCUUCUUCUUCUAUCAAAUGGUAUAACAAAGCGGUGAAGCUAGAAUCCUUACCUGUGGCGAAGAUCCGGCGGCUCCCUUCCGGCAAAGAUCCGGCGGCUCCCUUCCGGCGACAAACAGAGGAAGAAGAUCACCCGAAAAAAAAUCCGGCUCCGACGGUCCCUCCCUCUCUCUCUCCCUCUUGGGCGGUUGCACGAGGAAGAAGAGAGGAUUCGGGUGGCCUCAAAGAGAAGGAGAAGAAGCCCUAAAAACAGGGCUUCCUCCUUCUUCGGGAUGGAUCCUUCCAUCCCGGUGCCUCACGUGCAACGCACGUGAGGCCGAAACCUGGGACUGGGCCGGUCAAAUGGACCGGGCCCAGUUCCGGGGUCUCACAU
rnacentral:lncRNA from 1 species